rnacentral:rRNA from 1 species
UACGUAGGGUGCAAGCGUUGUCCGGAAUUAUUGGGCGUAAAGAGCGUGUAGGCGGCCCGAUUAGUCCGCUGUGAAAGUCCAGGGCUCAACCCUGGAAUGCCGGUGGAUACUGUCGGGCUAGAGUCCGGAAGGGGCGAGUGGAAUUCCUGGUGUAGCGGUGAAAUGCGCAGAUAUCUGGAGGAACACCGGUGGCGAAGGCGGCAUCCUGGACCGGUAUUGACGCUGAGGCGCGAAAGCUAGGGGAGCAAACGGG